CAAUAGCGUAUAUUAAAGUUGUUGCAGUUAAAAAGCUCGUAGUUGGAUUUCUGUCAGGAGUGACCGGGCCUUUGGAUGAACUUCCAUUGUUUUUUGCUCUGUUUGUCAUCUCUAGACAUCCUGAAAUAUUUUUUAAAAAUAUUUCUCUUUUACUGUUAGCAAAAUAGAGUGUUCCAAGCAAAGCGUAGUUUUGAAUACAUUAGAAUGGAAUAAUAAGAUAGGACUUUGGUGCUAUUUUGUUGGUUUGCACACCAAGGUAAUGAUUAAUAGGGACAGUUGGGGGUAUUCGUAUUUAAUUGUCAGAGGUGAAAUUCUUGGAUUUAUGAAAGACGAACUACUGCGAAAGCAUUUACCAAGGAUGUUUUCAUUAA
rnacentral:rRNA from 1 species